rnacentral:sRNA from 1 species
CAUCUCAUGCCAAGAGUUAUCUGUGUGAGGGAGUUUAGUGGGUAUAAGAAUCAGGUUUUGGCAUCAGACAGAUCUGGGUUCAAAUAUGGAGUCUGCAGUUAGUGGGGUAGCAACGGGCAAGUUACUCAACUGCCAAGACCCCAUUUCCUUAUCAGAGAGAACUGGCACCUUUUUUAGUGGGAUGGCAAUGGGCAAGUUACUCAACUGCCGAGACCCCAUUUCCUCAUCAGAGAAAACUAGCACCUUUUUUUACAUGUGGUUAACCUGAAUCUGGCCUGCAGAUAUUGAUAUGCUGGAGGAAUUUGCCUACUUGAGAACUCAGGAAGGUGGGAAAAUUCAUCUGGAAUUACUACCCAAUCAAGGAAUGCUGAUCAAGUAAGCAUGUUCUCUUUUGCUCUUCCAUGCUGAGUGCUCACCUUUUGUGUCUUUGUAUGAAGUAUUUGUAAAUGUCUAUACCUAUCAAAAAUUUAAUACAAAGGACUUUAAACCUGG